rnacentral:rRNA from 1 species
UGGGGAAUAUUGGGCAAUGGGCGAAAGCCUUACCCAGCAAUGCCGCGUGAGUGAUGAAGGUCUUCGGAUUGUAAAGCUCUUUGAUUAGGGACGAAGAAAGUGACGGUACCUAAAGAACAAGCACCGGCUAAUUACGUGCCAGCAGCCGCGGUAACACGUAAGGUGCGAGCGUUGUUCGGAAUCAUUGGGCGUAAAGGGCAUGUAGGCGGUCUGUCAAGCCAGGCGUGAAAGCCAGGGGCUCAACCCCUGAACUGCGCUUGGAACUGGCGGACUGGAGUCGCUGAGGGGGAGCCGGAAUUCCUGGUGUAGGGGUGAAAUCUGUAGAUAUCAGGAAGAACACCGAUGGCGAAGGCAGGUUUCCAGCAGACGACUGACGCUGAGGUGCGAAGGUGCGGGGAGCAAACAGGAUUAGAUACCCUGGUAGU